CGUUGGAACCGUUUGCACUAAGUUUAGUCCAAGUCAUCCAAGUCUUCAAUUCCCAUCGACAAUGAAUAGGUAAGUUAGAUAUCUAUCUCUAUAUAAGAAGGUAGCAUUUGUAGUUAGAAACAUAAUUAGGAAUUUAAAGAGAAUCAAAAGAGAAAUGAGAGCCUCAAAGAGCUUGUUUAAGACUGGUAGUUUUUUACUAGUCAUGAUAUUUUUAGGUCUUGUUUCGAAUGCCUUAGCAAGACCAUAUCUCACGCACGCCUCACCUCUAACACCCAACAACUUACUUCCAUCACCAUAUGGAAGAAACCAUAAAUCACUUCCUUUUCACUUCAAUACACCAUCUCAUGGUUAUAAUCGCCCCUUGCGAAAAUCGCCGCGGCUGCACAAGAAAUCUCUUUCGACACCACAAUUUGUAGGGAGGCCAUUACCGAAGAAAUACACGCCUCCUGAGCAAAUUUAUCAUAUACCUCCAAUUCCCCUUACCUAAGAGAUUCAAAGGAAAUGGAAAGGAAGCCUUCAAUCAAUUAAUAAUGCAAGAGUUUUCUAAUAAACAUGAUGAAGGGACAAGUCUCCACAUAUGGCUAUAGUUUUAUGCUAGUGCACUGUAUGCAAUAUAAAAAAAUUAUGCAUGAGAGAGAAAUAAACUAAGGAAAAAUACAAUUGGAUAUUUAAUUUAUAUUUUAAUUAAUACUUUCGUGUCUCUAUUUUUGAGAAAUUACUAUGGCAUCCCUAAUUUUAAUUAAAUUUAUUAUUAGGUCUUUUCAUCCAAAAGUGAGUAUAUACUCUCCAAAAAAUAUGUUUAGUUAACAGUAAAGUCCUACUUUUUGGAUGAAAGGAUCAAAUAAUGAGUUUAAGCAAAUGUUGAUGACUGUAUGGUAAUUUCUUGAAAAUAAAGGGAUGAAUUUGAUAAUUAGGAUAUAAAUUAGGGACUCAAGUAUUUUUCCAUAAAUUAAAAAAGAAUAGAAUAAUGGUAUUAGUGUUGGAUGGUGUUAUUCUGUUUCGUUUUUAAGAUAUACAUGGAAUGAUAAGUAAAAGUUUUCUUUGAUUCC